rnacentral:rRNA from 2 species
GCGGCGUGCUUAACACAUGCAAGUCGAACGAUGAAAGAGAAUCCGAUCUCUUCGGAGUGAAGAAUCUCUGGAUUAGUGGCGGACGGGUGAGUAACGCGUGAGCAAUCUGCCUUACACAAAGGGAUAGCCUCGGGAAACCGGGAUUAAUACCAUAUGAUAUCUAUUAACCGCAUGGUAGAUAGAUUAAAGAAUUUCGGUGUAAGAUGAGCUCGCGUCCCAUUAAUUAGUUGGUGAGGGUAACGGCCCACCAAGAUAGCGAUGGGUAGCCGAUCUAAGAGGAUGACCGGCCACAUUGGAACUGAGAAACGGUCCAAACUCCUACGGGAGGCAGCAGUGGGGAAUAUUGCACAAUGGGGGAAACCCUGAUGCAGCGACGCCGCGUGAGCGAUGAAGGCUUUCGAGUCGUAAAGCUCUGUCCUAUGGGAAGAUAAUGACGGUACCAUAGAAGAAAGCCCCGGCUAAUUACGUGCCAGCAGCCGCGGUAA